CAUGUCUAGAGUUGAUAUUUAAAAUAAUUUGUAAUUAUAAUAGUUUAUUUACCAAGGCCAGUAAACAGUUCGUUAGUAUAUUAAAUUAACUGGUCGACCUCCACGUGGUUUUUACUGGAAACUAUCCUGCUUAAUUCUUGUUGAAUUCUUCAUGAUGGGCCGACUGAUUUUUCUUCAUCCUCAUCUAUCACUGGUAUCCCGUCAGCUUAUACCGGUAGCAUAGGCCAGUAGCACUUUCUGUCCGUCUCGGCCAAACAAGCUGCCGGCUCGGAUUCCGUGGUGUAUCCCCAGUCUAUGCUGGACCCGAUGAAGUUCAGGAACAUGGAUGGCACUUGUGCACCGGUGGGUUCAUCGAAACCUGU